AAAAUACUCCCUCCGUCCAGAAUUACUUGUCGGAGAAAUGGAUCUAGACGAAUUUUACUUCUAGAUACAUCCAUUCCUACCUAUUUUUGCGACAAGCAUUUCCGGACGGAGGGAGCGGCAG
rnacentral:pre_miRNA from 1 species